UACGUAGGGUGCGAGCGUUAAUCGGAAUUACUGGGCGUAAAGCGUGCGCAGGCGGUUCGCUAAGUCAGGUGUGAAAUCCCCGGGCUUAACCUGGGAAUGGCGCUUGUGACUGGCGGUCUGGAGUACGGCAGAGGGAGGUGGAAUUCCUAGUGUAGCAGUGAAAUGCGUAGAGAUGUGGAGGAACACCGAUGGCGAAGGCAGCCUCCUGGGCCAGUACUGACGCUCAUGCACGAAAGCGUGGGGAGCAAACAGG
rnacentral:rRNA from 1 species